rnacentral:rRNA from 1 species
AUACGUAGGGGGCAAGCGUUAUCCGGAUUUAUUGGGUUUAAAGGGUGCGCAGGCGGCCAUUUAAGUCAGCGGUUAAAUCGUGGGGCUCAACCCCAUUCUGCCGUUGAUACUGGGUGGCUUGAUUGCGGUCGAGGUUGGCGGAAUUCGUUGUGUAGCGGUGAAAUGCAUAGAUAUGACGAAGAACACCGAUUGCGUAGGCAGCUGACCAGACCGCAAAUGACGCUCAUGCACGAAAGUGCGGGGAUCGAACAGGAUUAGAUACCCUGGUAGUCCGCACAGUAAACGAUGAAUACUUGUUUUCGGCGAUAUAAUGUCGGAGGCAAAGCGAAAGCGAUAAGUAUUCCACCUGGGGAGUACGCCGGCAACGGUGAAACUCAAAUGAAUUGACGGGG